CAAUUACAACUCAAAUCAACUAAGCUGCCUUCCAACUAAAUGGGUCCACCAGCUGAAUCCGGUACAACAGUACUCAUAAUUAACUCUACUUAAACAAUACUUUGUUUUUAUUAGUUCCUCAAAUCUGCACAGUAUCACUCCUCACAGGCGCAUCUAAUGGCCUUCAUUGUACAUGCCCAUAACAACACCUCAAUGACAUUUCUUCAUCAAUUAUCAGUAAGUGAUUCAUAACCUAUUUUUUGCAAAAAUCUUUUAACUCUUAGCGAGGUACUCAAAGAACAGGAAGCAAUAAAUAAUCUACUUUAGCUGAUGACAAGUCAGCUAUCUAUACAUCAAAUACUUUCGGUGAAGUAAAGUUCUAUUAUCCCUAAGGCA